GAUGAACGCUGGCGGCGUGCCUAACACAUGCAAGUCGAGCGAACCCUUCGAGGUGAGCGGCGGACGGGUGAGUAACGCGUGGGUAACCUGCCCUAUACACACGGAUAACGUACCGAAAGGUACGCUAAUACGGGAUAAAGUUGUUGGAUGGCAUCUUCUAACAAUCAAAGCUCCGGCGGUAUAGGAUGGACCCGCGUCUGAUUAGCUAGUUGGUGAGGUAAUGGCUCACCAAGGCGACGAUCAGUAGCCGACCUGAGAGGGUGAUCGGCCACACUGGAACUGAGACACGGUCCAGACUCCUACGGGAGGCAGCAGUGGGGAAUAUUGCACAAUGGGCGAAAGCCUGAUGCAGCAACGCCGCGUGAGCGAUGAAGGUCUUCGGAUCGUAAAGCUCUGUCCUCAAGGAAGAUAAUGACGGUACUUGAGGAGGAAGCCCCGGCUAACUACGUGCCAGCCGCCGCGGUAA
rnacentral:rRNA from 1 species